CCUACGGGGGGCUGCAGUCGGGAAUAUUGCGCAAUGGAGGAAACUCUGACGCAGUGACGCCGCGUGCAGGAAGAAGGUUUUCGGAUUGUAAACUGCUUUAGACAGGGAAGAAAAAAGACAGUACCUGUAGAAUAAGCUCCGGCUAACUACGUGCCAGCAGCCGCGGUAAUACGUAGGGAGCAAGCGUUAUCCGGAUUUAUUGGGUGUAAAGGGCGUGUAGGCGGGAGCGCAAGUCAGAUGUGAAAACUCAGGGCUCAACCCUGAGCCUGCAUUUGAAACUGUGUUUCUUGAGUGCUGGAGAGGCAAUCGGAAUUCCGUGUGUAGCGGUGAAAUGCGUAGAUAUACGGAGGAACACCAGUGGCGAAGGCGGAUUGCUGGACAGUAACUGACGCUGAGGCGCGAAAGCGUGGGGAGCAAACAGGAUUAGAUACCCUAGUAGUC
rnacentral:rRNA from 1 species